GAAGACGAAAUGGUGGCAAUGCUUGGGGGUGAGAACUCGGUCGAUUUGAUCACGGUGGCCACUGCCGUCCAUUGGUUUGACAUCCCAAAGUUCUACUCUGUUGCCAAACGGGUCCUCCGCAAGCCCGGAGGCGUGAUCGCCGUUUGGACCUACACUGACAUGAUCGAAGUCAAUCCCAAAAUUGAACAUAUACUAAGACGUCUGCGCGAAGCCUCUAAGCCAUAUUGGAAGCCAGGAGUGCAGUACGUGUUUGAAGAGUAUCGAAACCUUCCAUUUCCGUUUGAGAGUGUGGGUUUAGGUUGCGAAGGACAACCUGUUCAGCUAGAAAUGCCGAGGGAAAUGAGUUUUGAGACGUUUCUGAGUUGCCAGAGGACCUCGUCAGCAGUAGCGACGGCUAAGCAGGAUGGUGUAGACCUGUUGACCGAUGAUGUCGUGAAAGAGUUUGAGACCGCUUGGGGCGGAUCGGAUUUGGUCAGAACUGUCAAGUUCAAGGUUUUUAUGCUUGCGGGAACAGUGAAAGCUUGAAUCUCACUUUCCCUUGGAACUUAAAUCAAUAAAUUAGGAUAUAUUAAUUACUUUUAUAUCAUAUCAAUUCUUUAAUAUGAGAUUUUCCUAAUAUAAUUCUAUAGAUAGAUUCUAUCAAUAGCCCUCGAGGGGGUAGGAAUGAUGUUGAAAGGACAACGUAUACGUUUGAGUGACGUCCUGAUGACAUUAUUCAUCGAUUGAAGAGCCAAUACGAGAGAGACGCGCAAGCUUUGCAAAUCCAAGUUUGCCACCUCCUUGUGUCUCCUUUUUCUUCUCCUUCGUUUCUUUUUCUUCUUCUCUCUAUUUAAACCGCAAAAAACGAGAGACCCCACAAGGGUUGUUGAAUCCAUACAGCUUGCGCGAGACGAUCGAAGGGGAUCCUGUGUGUGCGGUGAUCGUGAUUGUUUGCUGUGUUGUGUCGUACGAGAUGGCAAUGCAAAGCCCUUACGACCAGGUAACCAAGGGAUACGUCGCAACGCGGCCCCGGUAUCCCGACCAGUGGUUCUCCAAGCUCUCCGCUUUGACCUCCCGCCAUGCCUUGGCUUGGGACGCCGGCACUGGCAACGGCCAAGCCGCCAUCGCGGUCUCUCUCUCUCUCUCUCUCUCUCUCCUUCGAUGUCAGUGACAUGUUAGAAAUUCCGAUACUCAUUUUGAUGCUGAGAGCCGAGUUCACAAGCUCUCUUAACUAGUCUUCCUGGAAGUUCCCAACAAAAGAGAAGACAGAUUUUCAAGAAUCCAUAGACGGAACAGGUUGCCAAAUAAGGAUUUUUACAAGAACUGGGUUGUUCAUUUAGGAUUGGGCGUUGGGAUUACACGGUAGGUUCAUUAGGGCGAUAUGCCUCGAGUAGUAGCUGUGACUGAAAAAAAGAGAAAUUUUGGUUAAAUUCGGCGGUUCGCUUCGGUUUUUGACACUGAGGUUAUUCAGUAGUUCAUGCGUGCAAUUGGCCAUGCUCUCUGUCGUCGACUUAGAUGAAGAAUCUGUGCCGUAAGCAGCUCUUUCGUCGCAUUUACAGAGUUAAGGUGAUCACGACUCACAGGUUGUAGAACGAAAGAUCUUUAUUAAAAAGGACGCAUUUCCUGACUGGUUAGCAUUGGCAAACGGUUUGUCCAUCGAUCUUGAACUCAUGAAAUGACUAAAUCGACUUAGCAAUGAGGCGCACCUCUCAAUUUGUUUGGCAUCGUCGCCUGUUUUCACUGUCUGGUUGUCUGCACGGAGUCUCCAGACCAGUGUCUUUACUUUGUGUCUGCCCCUAGCUUUGGACAGCUCUUUGUUCAAUCUUUUGCAUCCUCGAUAACAAUUUUAGUCUCAAAGUACACGAACUGUCAUAAAGAGUUAACAGAAUUUCUAUCUUUGCAGGUCGCAGAACAUUAUGAGCGAGUGAUUGCGACUGACAUAAGUGAACCCAUGCUGAAGCAGGGGAUCCCACACCCUCGAGUUCAGUACUUACACACUCCGCCAUCCUUGUCCGAAGACGAAAUGGUGGCAAUGCUUGGGGGUGAGAACUCGGUCGAUUUGAUCACGGUGGCCACUGCCGUCCAUUGGUUUGACAUCCCAAAGUUCUACUCUGUUGCCAAACGGGUCCUCCGCAAGCCCGGAGGCGUGAUCGCCGUUUGGACCUACACUGACAUGAUCGAAGUCAAUCCCGAAUUUGAACGUAUACUAAGACGUCUGCGCGAAGCCUGUAAGCCGUAUUGGAAGCCAGGAGCACAGUACUUCUUCGAAGAGUAUCGAAACCUUCCAUUUCCGUUUGAGAGUGUGGGUUUAGGUUGUGAAGGACAACCUGCUCAGCUAGAAAUGCCAAGGGAAAUGAGUUUUGAGACGUUGCUGAGUGUCCUGAGGACCGCGUCGGCAGUAGCGACGGCCAAGCAGCAUGGUGUGGACCUGUUGACCGAUGAUGUCGUGAAAGAGUUUGAGACUGCUUGGGGCGGAUCGGAUUUGGUCAGAACUGUCAAGUCCAAGGUUUUUAUGCUCGCCGGAACCGUGAAAGCUUAAAAGAUCUCUGUUUCUCGGUGCUUUGGGGAGCUCGUUACUGAUAAAAUCUUCCUAAAUUACGCCUCCAUUAAAUAAUGUUCCAGAGUUGGAGAACGUGCAUCAGCAGCAGCAUCUACUUGUAGAUGCCCCUCCUGAGCACAAACUUGUUGUGAGGUCAAUUUCUCCUGCAAUUGCAAUGACCUAAUGUUUGGAUUAAUAAUAUAUGCAGUUUACUUCCAAGUGCCAAGUUACCUUUCAAAUGAUGUUCGGGCAUAAAGCUUUCAUGACGUUUACCUUCUCAUGUGUAUUUAGAGUUCAUCAUUAAGUAGUCUCAGAGAAUUAUAUACGAGCCAGGGGAAGAUGAUUACAGCCACUACCGUUCCAGUAUCCCAUGAACAAUUAAUGGUCACAGAAAUCAGGUACCUAUCGCGGGAUGGAAUUGAAAAUUUCUAAAAUUUUUGCACAAAAUUGCAAAAGAAAAUCCUAUAAGUAACAGAGUUGCAGAUCAGCCAAGCACUUUCGUUCCAGGGACUGUAGAGCUUGAUUUUAAAAGGUCGGAAUCAAGUAGUAAACUGGCAUGUUUAAGAGGGAUACUCUUUUACUAUAUGAUCUUGCCAAUGAAAGCCAAACUUAAAGGUAAACAACCAGCUGGUGCCAAACAUAGUAGAAACAAUAAGCAAAAACUCUAAUGAUUUGCCUGAGUGUGUCAGUGAGACGCUUGAAUGCAUGUUCAAUGCUCACUGCUUUUCAUCUUUAAUGACCCUCAUAGUCUUUUGCAGACUCAUCGCAGAAACCCGUAGACAGACGACUAGACAGAAAAGGGAGGAGCAACAUAAGGCACAGCGCCAACUUCGCCUGUGCCAUUCUGCAUAGCGGCUAUGCUGGAGGCAGCACACAUGGAUCAGGCAAGGGUGGGACUAACAGCAAAUCGGAAUCAUCAUCUCCAAAAGGCGGUGCAGCUGUGAUCCCCAUGUAUGCUGGUUCUGCUGGUGCUAACAACCACCACCACCAAAGUGCCCUCCACGGUUCCAUAGCCCUGCACGAGUCCACGCUCUCACUGGAGCAGUACUGGCCCUCUGCUGUGUUUUCCUAUAGAAUGUUUGCAUUUGAUGGCGCAAAUUUCUCAAUAGAUCUUUGUGUACAUUGAGACAGUAACUUAAAACUCUGCAAUAAAUUCAAACGUUUAGCCUUUUCCCACUCUGAUUGGCACUCUUGUUUUCUGGACGGAUGAUUGCUUCAUGGUAAAUGACAAGAAAGAAGAAAUAUAUGGUGUAGCAUUAUUCUAAUGGAGGCAGGUAUGAAGCUGAGAAGAAAGCAUAUAUUCUGAUGAGAGAUAUGUAAGUGACGUCCCUGAUGACAUUAUUCAUUCAAAAGUUGAUAAGGAGAGGCGCAAGCUGUGAGUGACCGAGUUUGCCAUCUCUGUCUCUCUUCUUCUUCUUCUUUUCUUCUUCUUCUUCUUCUCUCUAUUUAAACUGCAAAAAAUGAGAGACCCAACAAGGUUAUUGAGUCCAUACAGCUUGCGCGAGUCGAUCCAAGGGGGACUCUGUGUGUGUGGUGAUCGUGAUUGUGUGCUGUGUUCUGUCGUACGAAAUGGCAAUGCAAGGUCCUUACGACCAGGUAGCCAAGGGAUACGUUGCCACGCGGCCCCAGUAUCCCAACGAGUGGUUCUCCAAGCUCUCCGCUUUGACCUCCCGCCAUGCCUUGGCUUGGGACGCCAGCACUGGCAACGGCCAAGCCGCCGUCGCGGUCUCUCUCUCUCUCUCUCUCUCUCUCUCUCUCUCUCUCUCUCUCUCUCUCUCACAUUAUCUGCCUGAUGCUGAGAGAUGAGUUCACUAGCUCUCUGAAUGUGUCUUCCUGGAAGAUCCAGAAAAAGAGGAGAAAGAUUUUCAUGAAUCCAUAGAUGGAUAAGGUUGCCUGGAUAAGGAAUUUCACAUGAACUGGGCUGUUCGUUUGGGAUUCAAUAUUGAGAUUACUCAGUAGGUUCAUUAGCGCGAUAUGCCAUUAGUAGUACCUGUGAUCAAAAAUAAGAAAUUUCGAGUAAAUUGGGUGGUACGCUUAGUUCAUACAUGCUAUAGGCCAUGUUCUCUGUUGUCAACUUAAAUGAAGUAUCUUUGGUGGUCACGGUUUGUACUACGAAAGAUCAUUAUCAAGGAGGAUGCAUUUCUGACUGUUUGCAUUGGCAAACGGUUUGUCCAACGAUCUUGAGCUCCUGAAUGAUCAAAUCGACUUAGCAAUGAGGCACCCCUCUCAAUUUGUUCGGGCCUUAUCGCCUGUUUUUGAUGUCUGGUUAUCUGCAUGGAGUCUCCAGACCAAUGUCUUUACUUUGUGUCUCCCCCUAGCUUUGAACACAAUUUUUGUUUGGAAUACAUGAACUGUCGUUAGAGAGUUAACAGGAAUUUCUUUCUUUUGCAGAUCGCAGAGCAUUAUGAGCGAGUGGUUGCAACUGACAUAAGUGAACCCAUGCUGAAGCAGGGGAUCCCACACCCUCGAGUUCAGUACCUAUACACGCCAUCAUCCUUGUCCGAAGACGAAACAGUGGCAAUGCUCGGGGGCGAGAACUCGGUCGAUUUGAUCACUGUGGCCACUGCCGUCCAUUGGUUCGACAUCCCAAAGUUCUACUCCAUUGCCAAACGGGUCCUCCGCAAGCCCGGAGGCGUGAUCGCCGUUUGGACCUACACUGACAUGAUCGGAGCCACUCCCGAAUUUGAACGUCUACUAAGACGUCUGCGCGAAGCCUGUAAGCCGUAUUGGAAGCCAGGAAUGCAGUACGUCUUCGAAGAGUAUCAAAACCUUCCAUUUCCGUUUGAGAGUGUGGGUUUAGGUUGUGAAGGACA
rnacentral:lncRNA from 1 species